GGCAGGGCAGCCGAAGGGACUGUAUGCAAUGAGGACAAUCCCCUUAGACUUGCAGUACUCCACCAGCUUGGGCUGGGUCAACAAGAAAGCAGGAGGAGGAGCCAGCACCAUGUGAUGACCAAUCAGCUCUCAGAGCCAGAAGUGAUGAACCAAUUAGUGCCUAGGCAGAAAGCCUUUAGCGGCAGAGUUCAAUUCUCACCCAGAGCAGUCAUGAAGAGCUCAGGAAGGCACUGAAGACCACUUAUGACUUUACUAAAU